AAAAACAUUCUGGCUAACAUUCAAGCAAACAUGUAUAUCAAAACAAUCAACAAGUUUAAUAAUCACACAUGUGCAUGAACAUGGUUAUAGAACUGAAAUUGUGUUUGUGAAAAUAUUAUCAAAUGGUUAGACAACACAAAUCAGCUCAAGGUUUUAUUUAAUUUCUUUGUUUAUGGGGUGCUUAUAAAGGUUACUAUGUCUUAAUUACAAUGUAAUAAAAUGUAAUGGCAAUGAAUAGCAUCCCCGAACAUUAUGCAUUGACAAAACAAAUCACUGGAUUUGUUUAAGUGACUCACAAAAACAUUCGGGCUAACGUUUAAGCAAACAUGUUUCUCAAAAUGAUCAUCAAGGUUAAUCACACCUGUGAAUUGCAACUGAAAUUCUGUUAACUUAACAUUUUUCAGUAGCAUGACAGAAGUGCAGCUGUUUUCAAAAUAGUGUAGCUUUACAGUAACAACCUACAAUUUCCAUUGAGUAGUGCUGUAGUGUCUCAAAACACUAAAUUAAUUGUCACACUGUAUUGUGAACGCAGCAUUGGAGCAAUUGAACGGAACAAAAGUGAAGCGAGUAAUCAAAAACACUCACCUAAACCUUCCUCUCUCAUGUAGUGCUGCGACAUCCAAAUCACUGAAGUAAAUUGUCUCUUUUGGCCAGUUUAUGUACUGUAAAUAAACCAGUUAAAAUAAUUCCCUUAUAUUUAGCAUUUGAAACGAUUAAUUUUAGUGAGUCAGUUCUUUCGGAUGGUUCAUGUAUACGAACUAAUUCACAUAAAUGAUUUACUUAUUAACUUGAGCCCUGUGUAGCCUUAAAAGGAACUUUGCCUUCUUUUUUUAAGCAAAAUAUUUAUUUGCUGCUGUUUAUCACUUUAGUCUUAUUCAGUUAUAUAAAUUAGGGUGUUUUCUAGUUUUUUUUUUAAGUGUAUAUUAAUUAUAUAUCUGAAAAUAUAUAUAUUUUUUAAAUAGCUUAAAUGUAGUUAGCAACUUUUUGUUAGUAGCUUGUAGUGUAGCUAACUACUUUAUUACAAUAGUAAGUAGCUUGACAGUAGUUUGACUACUUGAAAUUAUGAGUAGCUUGUGGUUUGGGAAGCUUGAGUUUCAAAGUAGCUUCCCCAACACUGCUAUUAGUUACAAUAUAAUAAAAUACAAUGGCAAUUCAUAAAAUUUUUGAUCAUUGUGGAAUUCUAUCUAACAUUCAAUCAAAUUACAUCAUGUAUUACACGCUCCAUAAAAGCCAGAGAAAAAUAAUGUGAUUAAUAUAUUUGCAGCACACUGCCAUCCAGUGAUCAGUAACAGAACUAUAAAAGGCACACAAUUAAAACUGAAAAGACAAAAGAAAAGAGAAGUAGUAGAGGAAUGUUAAGCAUUCAAUAAAUGUAUGUUUUUAUACGUCCUUGUGCAAAUUCUAUAUUUCCAUUUUUCUCUGGAUGUACUACACAAAUAUGAUAAUAGUAUGUCAAUAGCCUUUAAUUCAUCAGCAAUAAGCAGAAUGACAUAAAAAUAGUCUUUACAUAUCUGUGUACAUUUAUGCACACAGGAACCUUUUGGAAGCUCCUGCUCAUGUGUUUCACACUGACUUCAUUUGAGUAUUUUUAACUUAAUAAGUGAUGGCUAGAUCUGCCCGCAGUCUUGAGUCCUGUGGCACUGAGAUUCAUGCACCCCUGACACCAGUAUGUGGGAUGGUCCAUCGCCCCCGGCAACACAGGGACUAUUCCCAAAAGCCUGUCUGAUUUAUGGAGCUAAUUUUGCCGUGUUGUUGGGGAAUCUGGGAUUUGUGGUUCAGCUGAGGGCAGUUGUCUGCAUGACAAGGCCAGUGUAGAGUUCAAACCCACAGAGCUUUUGUCAGCACCUUUACCAGAGCACCAGAGUGAGACGGAUAGAGCAACUCUUGACAGGUCGCACACGACGGGAAAAAGAUGACGAGCAAGCUCAAAUCACAACUACAGUAAUCUGUUAUUACAAACACUAUUAAAAUCACUUAUACAUCUUAUACUUUUUUUUUUUUUGCUGCAUUUAAUUAAACUCAAACUGCUUAAUGGGAAUUUGAAAUUUUUGUCAAAGAUUCAUUCAGCCUUAGGUAUACAGUGCAUUUUUGGUUUUGAUGAAAUUUAGUAUUUAGCACAACAGUCGGGUUCCGGAAGUAAAAUAUCCCAUUCAUGCUUUCCAUAGGGGAUUGAUUAUAACAAUAACGAAUAAACUUGUGCUGUCAGUCGAUUAAAAUAUUUAAUCGCGAUGAAUCACAUGAUUUUUCACAGUUAAUCAUGAUUAAUUGCAGAUUUUGAAAGUGCUGAAAUUUGACUUUAUAUACACUUCUUUUCCUGUCAAAAUGUGUUUAGAACUUCUUAGGAAAGAAAACAAAAUGUAACAAUGUUUAUUAACAUUUUCCAAAUAAAGCAUUUCACAGUAUUAAGAUAGAAAUGCACUAAAAAAAAAAGCACUAAUUCAAGUAACAUUAACCAUUUAAGUGGAAGGUUGACUAAUUAAAAGAACUAGUCCACAUAGGUUGCGUAUUCAUUGCAAUGCGCAUUAAAUCUCUUAAACCUUCAUCCUCCACAUUUAAGGACUUUUAAUUAAUCUGCCAGCAGGCUGUGGCUAUCCACUUGGCUACAGCAAUAGUGAAGCUGCAUCAACGCACCACUCAACGCCAGUGUCAAAUGCUGGCUUUGAAGUUUGAUCAUUACAUGGAAGGCGGUGCAAAGAACAGUCGAGUUCAGAAAUGCUUAAUACUUUUACUGCUUCUGCCAUAUGCAUGUAUAGCAGAAAUAGUAAGAGUAGUAUGUUAGUAUGCCAUUCCAAAAACGGCCAACGUCUUGUUCUGCUUUUAGCGCUGGCGCUGCCCACGUAAUGAUACUACAUCCGAAUUGUCCUGCAAUCAUUAGCUGAUGCUCGGAAAGAUCAGCGGCAACUGUGUAAAAAUUUAACUUGUUAGAACCUUAAGCUGCGCAUCGACAGACAUUCCAGGGGAGAACUCCAACCAGCUAGCUGGCCGCAGCAGGCCCUCAUCAGUGUUAUGUAUCGUGUGUUCGGCUUUUAGGUGAUAGUUAAGACUUGAAGUGCUUCUGUGGUAAUUAUAUUACACCUUACAAAGGACACAAAGUACUUGGGGGUUUUUUUUGUACGAGGUCCAUUCUCUAUCACUUGAUCAUUGACACGGAAUGAAGUGUUUGUGAUGUGUUUCGGACUCACACAGAGCUGAAUAAAAUGCCAGAAUCUAAUGUCAAAUUUUUUUAAUGCGUUAGUUUUCAAACAAAUCUACACAUUAAACAUAUUAAAUUAUCACAUGCGUUAAGGCGUUAAUUGUGACAGCACUAAUAUGAACCUUUAAAACCUGCCGUGAGCUCAGAGGUUGUUAAUCGAUAUAUAUGCUUCUAUUGUAAUCAUCAGUCUGCGUUAUUUCCACUCACAUUUUAAAAAUUGCAUUAAAUAGGGGAAUGCCUAGUGAAGAACUACACUUCCCAUGAUCCAGCACAGAAAGAUGGACCAAUCAGAGAAUCACACAAAAACAAAAUGAACCAAAAGAGCUCUGCAGCCUCUGCCAGUAAUUGAGUCGGUCUGCCUAUGUUAGUAAACCACUUACAUAUUUUGAUAUAUCUGGAUAUUUUUAAAUAUACUUAAAAUAUAUUGAUUCUAUACUUAUAGUCAACAACUUUAAAUCAAUAAUUUUUUUAUAUUUUCACACUGAAAAUAUCUCAGUUGCCUCCGCGUCUGAGACAGUCAAUCCGUGCUUCUUAUCACGUGGCUUGUUGAGCAUGUUACCGCGAAGACAGCGCAUGUGGAGGCUUCACGCCAUUCUCACCACGCAUCCCACCGAGAGCGAGAACCACAUUAUAGCGAUCACGAGGAAGUUACCCCAUGUGACUCUACCCUCCCUAGCAACUGGGCCAAUUUGUUUGCUUAGGAGACCUGGCUGGAGUCACUCAGCAUGCCCUGGAUUUGAACUCGCGACUCCAGGGGUGGUAGUCAGCAUCUUUACUCACUGAGCUACCCAGGCCCCCCAUAAGAGUUCAUUCCUUAAUUUAAGACGUCAAGUACACAUUCCAUUUGUCCAAAUUUGAAAUACUUUUUUAUUUGCUUAAAAACAAAGUUUGUAAUGUUGUGAUUCACCUUAGAGCUGGUUGGUUUGGGUCAUGGCUCUUUUAUGAAUUAUUUGAUGAAAUCCCUAUAGAAAAAACGAAUGGGAAAAACCCUGAAAAAGUGGGUGUGCACUGGAUUAGGUCCUUUUCUGAAUCAAUUAACUAAAA